rnacentral:rRNA from 1 species
UACGUAGGGGGCAAGCGUUGUCCGGAUUUAUUGGGCGUAAAGAGCGUGUAGGCGGCUAGGUAGGUCCGUUGUGAAAACUCGAGGCUCAACCUCGAGACGCCGGUGGAAACCAUCUAGCUAGAGUCCGGAAGAGGAGAGUGGAAUUCCUGGUGUAGCGGUGAAAUGCGCAGAUAUCUGGAGGAACACCGGUGGCGAAGGCGGCAUCCUGGACCGACACUGACACUGAGGAGCGAAAGCCAGGGGAGCAAACGGG